UACAGAGGUGGCAAGCGUUGUUCGGAAUUACUGGGCGUAAAGGGCGCGUAGGCGGCCUUCUAAGUCAGACGUGAAAUCCCCCGGCUUAACCUGGGAACUGCGUCUGAUACUGGAAGGCUUGAGUGCGGGAGAGGGAUGUGGAAUUCCAGGUGUAGCGGUGAAAUGCGUAGAUAUCUGGAGGAACACCGGCGGCGAAGGCGGCAUCCUGGACCGACACUGACGCUGAGGCGCAAAAGCGUGGGGAGCGAACAGG
rnacentral:rRNA from 1 species